rnacentral:snRNA from 12 species
AUACACACGUGGCAGGAAAGAUACCAUGAUCAUGAAGACUGUUUUCCCAGGGUGAUUCUGAUCCUCUUGAGACCUCCCCAAAUGUAGGAAACUUGAAUGCAGAAUUUGUGGUAGUGAAAGACUAAAUUUUUCUCUCUUCUG